rnacentral:misc_RNA from 1 species
AAAAGUGGUGGUGUAAAUCACCCCCCUAGGCUAUUGAUGCUUGGGCUUGCCCCUGCUAAACUAGCCUAGGCCACUUCACCCUUGAUAAACUACCAUCGUUGCUUUGGCAGGUCGUGGCCCUCGGCCCGUAGCACCUGCCAGAGGACCCCAAACUCUUUUGUUAUGUGACGUCUGAGUACUAUAUAAUAGUUA